AACGAACGCUGGCGGCAGGCCUAACACAUGCAAGUCGAGCGCCCCGCAAGGGGAGCGGCGGACGGGUGAGUAACACGUGGGAAUUUUCCUCAAGGUACGGAACAACUCAGGGAAACUUGGGCUAAUACCGUAUGAUGCAGAGAUGCCAAAGAUUUAUCGCCUUGGGAUAAGCCCGCGUCAGAUUAGGUAGUUGGUGGGGUAAUGGCCUACCAAGCCUGUGAUCUGUAGCUGGUCUGAGAGGACGAUCAGCCACAUUGGGGCUGAGACACGGCCCAAACUCCUACGGGAGGCAGCAGUGGGGAAUCUUGCGCAAUGGGCGAAAGCCUGACGCAGCCAUGCCGCGUGAAUGAUGAAGGUCUUAGGAUUGUAAAGUUCUUUAGCCUGUGACGAUGAUGACGGUAACAGGAGAAUAAGCCCCGGCUAACUUCGUGCCAGCAGCCGCGGUAAAGUCUGUACU
rnacentral:rRNA from 1 species